AUUGAACGCUGGCGGCAGGCCUAACACAUGCAAGUCGAACGGUAACAGGGAUCAGCUUGCUGAUUCGCUGACGAGUGGCGGACGGGUGAGUAAUGUCUGUGAAACUGCCUGAUGGAGGGGGAUAACUACUGGAAACGGUAGCUAAUACCGCAUAACGUCGCAAGACCAAAGAGGGGGACCUUCGGGCCUCUUGCCUUCGGAUGUGCCCAGAUGGGAUUAGCUAGUAGGUGGGGUAACGGCUCACCUAGGCGACGAUCCCUAGCUGGUCUGAGAGGAUGACCAGCCACACUGGAACUGAGACACGGUCCAGACUCCUACGGGAGGCAGCAGUGGGGAAUAUUGCACAAUGGGCGCAAGCCUGAUGCAGCCAUGCCGCGUGUAUGAAGAAGGCCUUCGGGUUGUAAAGUACUUUCAGCGGGGAGGAAGGGAGUAAAGUUAAUACCUUUGCUCAUUGACGUUACCCGCAGAAGAAGCACCGGCUAACUCCGUG
rnacentral:rRNA from 1 species